GUCGUGCGCCGUCCCCGUGCGCCGUCGCCGCCGGCCAGAUCGUAGCUUUCUCCUCCACCCCUAUUUUGCGAGCUCGCGGUCCGAUCUACGGCUCUCCCCCGGCUCCUUCGCAUCGCGCUCCGAUCUAUGGCUCUGCCCCGGCUCCUUCGCGUUGUAGCUCCUCCACCUCCCGACGUCUCCGUCGUGCCCCAAGCGCGCAGGCAAUGUCUGGCGGAACAAGUGGAGGAUCGAUACAUGACUUCUUCCCAAUGCCCGAGUCAAUCGCCUCGCUGAUUCCUCCGCUUGAAGGGGAUGGAGAAAACUGAGGGCGUCGUGCUCAUGGAUCUCGUCACUGGGCACCUGCCGACCGACAGGACCUUCAGGCUUCAACGGCGACAUCACAUGGUGCGGUGGGUGCUAGUGCCGCGCGAGGACUCGUCAAUGGCGGAGUUCCUUGACGUGGCUUUCCGGUGCACCAAGCCGGCGCUAGGGGAGAGGCUGAUCCACAUCUCGCUCGAUUACUAUCGAGCCGGCGAGCAGAAUUGCUAGGAUCGCUACGCGUGGAGCUUCACCAUAUGUUUCUUGUUUCAGUUUUUUUCGAAGUUCAUGCAGAGUUUUGAUUCCAAACACUGAAAAAUCGCAGGUUGCUCGUGGGCAUGCAUGCCCUUGACGAGCAGGUUGUGGAGAACAUGGUCGCCGGCGUCGUUGACUUUGCAGCCGUGAUGGUUCCGCUCGAAGACGGCGACUCGAAUUCAGGCGCUGGGUACCAUGCCAUGGAUGAGGACGAAGAUGGCGACAAUGAGCUGCUGAGCCACGCGGUCCUUUCGGCGACGAUGGGUCCGAAACCUGAUGCAGCGACGGGUCCGCGCUCUGCUCGUCUGAUUGUGAUGGCCACCAGCUAAUUAGUAUCAGUUACUAGCAUUUAGGCUGUCAGUUAGUAUGAGGUGUUGUUUUGUUCGCCAGAGAGCAGUUAGUCGUCGGGUUCAGGCUCGGAUUAGCUGGUGGUUUAUUCUGUUUUGUUUGUCACCUGGCUAAUUACUGUGAGGUGUUUGUUCUGGAUCCUUUUUUGGCCGAUCACACCUAGCAAGACUUCUGGUUCUGUACCAAUCAGUGGCAGGUGCAUAAUCUUGAUUUUCA